rnacentral:rRNA from 1 species
UACGGAGGGUGCGAGCGUUGUCCGGAAUCAUUGGGCGUAAAGGGCGCGUAGGUGGCGCGGUCAGUUCGUGGUGAAAGCGCGGGGCUCAACCCCGCGUCGGCCAUGAAUACUGCUGGGCUGGAGCACUGUAGAGGCAGGCGGAAUUCCGGGUGUAGCGGUGGAAUGCGUAGAGAUCCGGAAGAACACCGGUGGCGAAGGCGGCCUGCUGGGCAGUUGCUGACACUGAGGCGCGACAGCGUGGGGAGCAAACAGG